rnacentral:rRNA from 1 species
GACGAACGCUGGCGGCGUGCUUAACACAUGCAAGUCGAACGGAAAGGCCCUGCUUGCAGGGUGCUCGAGUGGCGAACGGGUGAGUAACACGUGGGUGAUCUGCCCCUUACUUUGGGAUAAGCCUGGGAAACUGGGUCUAUACUGGAUAGGACCAUGCUGUAGGUGGUGUGGUGGAAAGAUUAGUUUCGGUAAGGGAUGAGCUCGCGGCCUAUCAGCUUGUUGGUGGGGUAAUGGCCUACCAAGGCGUCGACGGGUAGCCGGCCUGAGAGGGUGGACGGCCACAUUGGGACUGAGAUACGGCCCAGACUCCUACGGGAGGCAGCAGUGGGGAAUAUUGCACAAUGGGCGCAAGCCUGAUGCAGCGACGCCGCGUGGGGGAUGACGGCCUUCGGGUUGUAAACUCCUUUCAGCCAUGACGAAGCCCUUGUGGUGACGGUAGUGGUAGAAGAAGCACCGGCUAACUACGUG